rnacentral:lncRNA from 1 species
AGAGAUGAUAAUUCGAUUAAUUAAUUAAUUUUCAAGUUUGGUCUCCGCCAGUUCACGGAUUGUAGCGUCAAUCUCCCGUUGUUUGAUGCGCUCGUGCAAAUAGAAAAGCAAUUUCUCCCUCGGUGGCAGGGUUUCUUUGAUCAAAGGGUUAUCCAGAAACUUGCUUUUCCAUGCAGUAAUGGCUGGAAAUCUUUUCGGGUCAAGAAAUUGAAUGGAUGCAAUUUCUUCCCAAAUUGGAAUAAGGUAAUUGAUCCAUCCAAUUGCAACUUCCAAAUACGCAUAUUUGUUCUCUCCUCCAAAGUAGCUUUUUCCUUUGAGUUCUCCCUCUAUCUUCUCCAAAACUUCCUUUGUUGCUUUCAGAGCAUCCUCUUUUUCCUCUCCUUUGGUCCACGUUGACUUCCAUGCAGUUUGCAUCAGCUAAAAAUAAAAAAUUAGGAGGCCAAACCAGUAUUUUAGUUCAGAGAGAACUUUAACAGAAAAACCACAAACUUGUAAUUGAAAAAAUCAAAUCGAAGUUUUAAUUGAAUUCAAAGUUGUAAAAACAUUAACACUCACCUUUUCAUCUGCAAAUUUAGCCCAAAAUCGAGCCAUGGCUCUUUCAUAAGGAUCUUGAGGCAGCAACGGAUCUUGUGGCCAUGUCUCAUCGAUGUACUCCAGAAUAACAAACGACUCAACUAUCACUUUGUCAUCAUGAACAAGCACAGGAACCUUUUUAUGAACUGGGUUCAGCUCAAGAAGCCUGGUGCUUUUGUUAAAGAUGUCUUCUUCAAUGUAUUCAAAUUCAACACCCUUUAGCUUCAAUGCCCAUACUACCCUAAACACAAAAGGACUACACCAAAACCCCAAAACCUUCACUUUUGUUGCCAUAAUCUUCUGCUAUUGUGAUUUGUGAAUGUGAGGUGAGAUCUAUCCACACACACACACUCACUUCUAGAUAAGUGGAAAACUAGAUUUUUAUAAUAAUUACAAGUUAGAAGACAAGAUAGACGGCAACUUUGACUGCUGUAGAUUAUUAUUAUUUUUUUUCGAUUGGUUACAUAUAAAUUAAAGAAUCCAACUUUUAUGCUACAUACACACGACCUUUAAUGUAAAUGGAAUUUUUCUCGAGAAUGCGACACUUCUUGAGAGGCAAGGCAUGACUUAAUUAACCUGCGUGUGUGUUUUUGCCGUUGACGGUGUUGAGUGUUGUGAGGACAGGCAAGGCAUGACUUAAUUAACCUGCGUGUGUGUUUUUGCCAUUGACGGUGUUGAGUUCUGUGAGGACAUUUGGAAUUUCAAAAGUCUAGUUUCUAAUUUUUAUUUUUUUUUCAUUUCAAUGUUUUAUAUGCAACAAUAUCCUAUGUAGAGAUGACUGAUGAGAACUUCUCCCCUUUUUUAAUUUAAAAAUAGUUCCUUGUUAAAAUAUUUUUCUAACACUAUUUUAUAAAAGAAUUUAAUUUUUAGAGGUGGAUAUGGGUUGAAUUGGAUUCAGUUUAUAAAAAUCCAACUCAAUCCAUUGUUAAUUGGGUUGAGAAGAAUUAAUAAAUUAAACAAAUAAACAUGUCAAAUCCAACCCACUCCAACCCUUAAAUCAUCGGCAAUGGUUUGGUUGGGUUGGGUUGGGUUGAGUUGAUCUUGAUCAAAAUUAAAAAUACAAAAAAUUUAAAUAUAAAAGUUUAAAAAAUGAUUUGGAAUUUAAAAUUAAAUUCAAAUAGUAAAAAAGCACAUAAUUCCCCAUCAUAAAAUUAAAUAUUUUCCAUUGUAACCAACAUCUAACGAUAAAUAACACGAUGUUCUUUUCUUUUUAAAUGUUUUUAGAGUUUUUUUUAAAAAAAAUAGAUUUCAUAAGUUUUAUACGAUGGAUGGUUGAAAAAAAAAUUAUAAUAAAAAUAAAAUUGGGAUUAUUUGAGAUAUUGUAAGGGAUAAAAAUUAAUUUCAAAUUUUUAAUGAAUUUAACUAAAAAGUGGGGACUAGUUAGAUAAAAUAAAAGAGUCAAUUAUCACCACUUAAUAAAUUGACCGAAUCAACCCAUUAUAACCCAAUCAAUCUAUAUUAAUUUAACUAGAUUGAGUUAGAUUAAUUUGGGCCUUAGUAAACCCAUAGAAUUUUCUUGUCUAAAUUGAGCCUGCAGUAUGAUGAUUUGGGUGGUGGUACAGUAAUGCAGGCCCCAAGAUAUGGUCAAGGGCUCAAAGCUAUCCUGUCUCAUGAUGCUUGCAGCUCCUUCUGGUAGUAUUAAGUCUUCAAGCUAUUAUUAUUUUUGCUUGAUUUUCUUUAGAGAGUUGUUAUUAUUAUUAUUUGUUAAAAUUUAAAUGAUGUCAUCCACUAAACUAUUUUAUAAACCCAUCUUUUCAAAAGAUCUAUUAUUAAAUAUAUAUAAAAAAACAACUUUUUUUAGCUAUACACCCACUAGGAUGCCUAAUGCAACCUCUGUCCCUUAACUAAAAUUUACUACUCCCAUUAUUUUACUAAAUAAACUCAUCUUUGAAACCAUUUAUACAACCGUUAUUUGCAAAAUUCUGAUAAAAAGAGAGAAGCUUCCUAGUUCUUUGUAGGCUUCCAAAUUUAUGAAGACAUAACAGGCAGUUCUUGCAUAUUAUAGAACAUAGGCCUAAUCAUAGGAUAUCAUCUUAUUCUUUCUAAAUAUUUGAUUUAAAGAUGAAAUAUACAUUACACACAACAUUGCAACUUUAAUUCUCCGAUGCACAAAAGUCGGCAUAAUCUCUUCUACUCGCUUGUGAAAAUAGGCAAGCGUCUUGUCCCUGGGUGGCAAGUUUUCUUUGAUGACAGGGUGUUUCAGAAACUUGGUGCUCCAUUCAGCAAUGGCCGAGAAUUUCUAAGUGUAACAACAACAUUAAUAGUCCAACAUAAAUUCAUAAUUGAUUACAUCACAAUAUCUUGUGAUAUAUACCUUACUGCAGAUCUGUUUGAUUUUUCAUUAUUUUUAAGUGUCUUUUCUAAUAGGCAUAGGCUUUGAAAAUGGUUAAUUUGUUAAGAGUAAGGCUCGCUUAGAUCCUUCUCGAACUAGCUGCUAGUUGUAUUCUUUGCAAUUCUUUUAUUUUAAUAAAUUUAUCAUUCUGUGGGUAUUAAGAUAUUAUACAUACAACAGGAGAUAUUCGUUAUUUCUAAAAACUUAAAAUUUUUAAAAAUGAGUGAUGCUAUAUUUAUUUAGUUGGAAUAUUUUGUUUAUAUUUCAAUUUAUGUGAAAUGAUAAAACUUAAUAACUAACUAGCACUUAAGUUAAUCAAAUAAUGUCACAGCAAUUGGAAUAUAAACUAGUUAUCCUAACUAAACUAGUAUAAUAUUAUUGUUUUUAGCAACACAAUGUUAGUUGAAUAUAAAAAAUGAAUGUUCUAUACAUACCUCCGAAUAAUUGAUGUAUAUAUUUGAUAUUUUUAACUCAUCUUAUAUUGGGUUCGUCUAUCUUAUAAAAACUUACUAUCAUUGUAACAUACAAUUAUUGUAAGGUAAUUUUUUUUUUCAUCUUAUUUUAUAGCUUGUAAAUCUAAAAUCUUUAAGAGUCUGUUUAUAGAAUUUCUCCUAAUUAUAUGAAGUUAACAAAAAUGAUAAGAACUAAUGUAUGAUACCCUUUUGGAAACAAUUAAUUUGCCCAAUAAUUAUACUAGCAACAAAAAUUCGAAUAGAAAAUAAGUUUAAUUAAUGCUCAGGGGCGCCAAAUGCUCUUCCCAUUAUAGUAUAUUGAUGAAAUGUUUUUCUUGUUUAAUUUAAUUUAAAUAAAACAAAUUUUCAUUACAUUGGAGGAUCUCCACUUAAUUGCAAUUGAAUAUUGGGUUAAAGGCAAUAUUCCUCAAGAUCUAAAUGAGUUUUUUAACAUGAAUUAAACUCAUAGAUUUCAAUAUGUUAUAAUGGACAAAUUCACCUAUGAGUGGAUCCAAAUUAUCUUUCUAUGUGAUAAGGAUCUAACAAAAAAAAAAUAAAUUGAUGUGCACAUAACAGAAGUUAAUUAAGGAAAAAUCCUACAUUAAUAUGGGAUGAACUUUAGGCCAUGUUUAUAAGAUUGAAGCUAAUCUUCAACUCUUUUUUUUUUUUAAUAUUAAUCACGAGGUAUCCUGGGGAGGGCCCCAACUGUGGGAGGCACCUUUAAGCCAGUACCACAAUCCAGACUAGAAGUCCCCGCUCGAACCGGGAGGCACAAGUUCUCCCAACAAAGGCGACUUCCCUGCGACUCGAACUGGGGAGCAAACCCAGUCAAGCCACUUAAGGGGACUCAAUUGCCAGUGGAGCCAACACUUUGUUGGUUUAAUCUUCAACUCUUUAACUCUUGAUCUAGCUACAAAUUCCAUAUAUCUGAAAAAAUAGUUCCAUGAAAGUAAUGUAUAAUUUUUGUCCCGCCAAAGCAUAAUAAAUAGGUCAUACCUCUUCUUUAUUUUCUCAACACAGAUUCAACUUGACCCAAAGUACUUAUAAAAAUAAUAAUAACAAUAAUAAUAAAAAACAACGAAAUCAUACAGAGCGAAUAAAAAAGAGACACGUGCAGAGAUGAUAAUUCGAUUAAUUAAUUAAUUUUCAAGUUUGGUCUCCGCCAGUUCACGGAUUGUAGCGUCAAUCUCCCAAUGUUUGACGCGCUCGUGAAAAUAGAUAAGCAAUUUCUCCCUUGGUGGCAGGGUUUCUUUGAUCAAAGGGUUAUCCAGAAACUUGCUUUUCCAUGCAGUAAUGGCUGGAAAUCUUUUCGGGUCAAGAAAUUGAAUGGAUGCAAUUUCUUCCCAAAUUGGUAUAAGGUAAUUGAUCCAUCCAAUUGCAACUUCCAAAUACGCAUAUUUGUUCUCUCCUCCAAAGUAGCUUUUUCCUUUGAGUUCUCCCUCUAUCUUCUCCAAAGCUUCCAUUGUUGCUUUCAGAGCAUCCUCUUUUUCCUCUCCUUUGGUCCACGUUGACUUCCAUACAGUUUGCAUCAGCUAAAAAUAAAAAAUUAGGAGGCCAAACCAGUAUUUUAGUUCAGAGAGAACUUUAACAGAAAAACCACAAACUUGUAAUUGAAAAAAUCAAAUCGAAGUUUUAAUUGAAUUCAAAGUUGUAAAAACAUUAACACUCACCUUUUCAUCUGCAAAUUUAGCCCAAAAUCGAGCCAUGGCUCUUUCAUAAGGAUCUUGAGGCAGCAACGGAUCUUGUGGCCAUGUCUCAUCGAUGUACUCCAGAAUAACAAACGACUCAACUAUCACUUUGUCAUCAUGAACAAGCACAGGAACCUUUUUAUGAACUGGGUUCAGCUCAAGAAGCCUGGUGCUUUUGUUAAAGAUGUCUUCUUCAAUGUAUUCAAAUUCAACACCCUUUAGCUUCAAUGCCCAUACUACCCUAAACACAAAAGGACUACACCAAACCCCCAAAACCUUCACUUUUGUUGCCAUAAUCUUCUGCUAUUGUGAUUUGUGAAUGUGAGGUGAGAUCUAUCCACACACACACACUCACUUCUAGAUAAGUGGAAAACUAGAUUUUUAUAAUAAUUACAAGUUAGAAGACAAGAUAGACGGCAACUUUGACUGCUGUAGAUUAUUAUUAUUUUUUUUCGAUUGGUUACAUAUAAAUUAAAGAAUCCAACUUUUAUGCUACAUACACACGACCUUUAAUGUAAAUGGAAUUUUUCUCGAGAAUGCGACACUUCUUGAGAGGCAAGGCAUGACUUAAUUAACCUGCGUGUGUGUUUUUGCCAUUGACGGUGUUGAGUUCUGUGAGGACAUUUGGAAUUUCAAAAGUCUAGUUUCUAAUUUUUAUUUUUUUUUCAUUUCAAUGUUUUAUAUGCAACAAUAUCCUAUGUAGAGAUGACUGAUGAGAACUUCUCCCCUUUUUUAAUUUAAAAAUAGUUCCUUGUUAAAAUAUUUUUCUAACACUAUUUUAUAAAAGAAUUUAAUUUUUAGAGGUGGAUAUGGGUUGAAUUGGAUUCAGUUUAUAAAAAUCCAACUCAAUCCAUUGUUAAUUGGGUUGAGAAGAAUUAAUAAAUUAAACAAAUAAACAUGUCAAAUCCAACCCACUCCAACCCUUAAAUCAUCGGCAAUGGUUUGGGAAUUUCUGAGAAUCAAGAAUUCGCAUGGAUCCAUCAGCUUCUUCCCAAACAGGAAGCCAGUAACUGAUCCAUCCAAUUGC